UACAGAGGGGGCAAGCGUUGUUCGGAAUUACUGGGCGUAAAGGGCGCGUAGGUGGCCUUCUAAGUUGAACGUGAAAUCCCUGGGCUCAACCCAGGAACUGCGUCCAAGACUGGGAGGCUUGAAUCCGGGAGAGGGAUGCGGAAUUCCAGGUGUAGCGGUGAAAUGCGUAGAUAUCAAGAGGAACACCUGAGGUGAAGACGGGUUGCUGGGCCAACACUGACGCUGAGGCGCGAAAGCCAGGGGAGCAAACGGG
rnacentral:rRNA from 1 species